UCCGGAACAAAACUCUGCUAGUCUCUUCCAGAGAAAUAUGAGGGGGAUCCCAAGUCCUGCUUUGAUUUUGUGUCUCAGUGCUCCAUGCACAUAGAACUCAUGGCGGAACAGUUCCCUACGGAACAAGCAAAGCAUCACCAUGUUGACGGGUUCUGGGUGUUAUAAACGCACUACUGACGUGAGCAUGUUAGGGGCCUGACGAAGUGCGACGCCACAUGAUAUGCUCUGUUGCCCAUCCCAUCCCCCAUGCCGCCACUCCUUUCCGCUCCCCCGCACGAUAUGUAUCCUGUUGAUUUUCUACAUUAAAGCCUGAAGAUACUGCUCUACAGAUCUGAGUGAUUCAAUAUUCCUGGAGUGAUCUUUGUUUCUUAGAUAUUGCAUUUAUUAGAGAGACAGAAUGUGUUGAUCUUAUAAAUAGGUGUACAUUUAAUAUCUGCGAAUGGGAGACUACAAGCAAUCUGCUCAAUCUGCG